GACGAACGCUGGCGGCGUGCUUAACACAUGCAAGUCGAACGGAAAGGCCCUGCUUUUGUGGGGUGCUCGAGCGGCGAACGGGUGAGUAACACGUGAGUAACCUGCCCUUGUCUUUGGGAUAACUUCAGGAAACUGGGGCUAAUACCGGAUAGGAGCUCCUGCUGCAUGGUGGGGGUUGGAAAGUUUCGGCGGUUGGGGAUGGACUCGCGGCUUAUCAGCUUGUUGGUGGGGUAGUGGCUUACCAAGGCUUUGACGGGUAGCCGGCCUGAGAGGGUGACCGGCGACAUUGGGACUGAGAGACGGCCCAGACUCCUACGGGAGGCAGCAGUGGGGAAUAUUGCACAAUGGGCGGAAGCCUGAUGCAGCAACGCCGCGUGCGGGAUGACGGCCUUCGGGUUGUAAACCGCUUUCGCCUGUGACGAAGCGUGAGUGACGGUAAUGGGUAAAGAAGCACCGGCUAACUACGUG
rnacentral:rRNA from 1 species